AGGGUUUGAUCAUGGCUCAGGAUGAACGCUGGCGGUAUGCUUAACACAUGCAAGUCGUACGAAGAUAAAAUUGUGCUUGCACGAUUUUAUACUUAGUGGCGGACGGGUGAGUAACACGUAAGAAUCUACCUUUUGGCGAGGGACAACCACUGGAAACGGUGGCUAAUACCUCAUAUAACUGAGAAGUGAAAGAUGAAAAUCACCAAGAGAUGAGCUUGCGUCUGAUUAGCUAGUUGGUAAGGUAAAGGCUUACCAAGGCGACGAUCAGUAGCUGGUCUGAGAGGAUGAUCAGCCACACUGGGACUGAGACACGGCCCAGACUCCUACGGGAGGCAGCAGUGAGGAAUUUUCCGCAAUGGGCGAAAGCCUGACGGAGCAAUACCGCGUGAAGGAUUAAGGCCUAUGGGUUGUAAACUUCUUUUCUCAGAGAAGAAUUUUGACGGUAUCUGAGGAAUAAGCAUCGGCUAACUCUGUGCCAGCAGCCGCGGUAAGACAGAGGAUGCAAGCGUUAUCCGGAUUAAUUGGGCGUAAAGCGUCUGUAGGUGGUUUAUCAAGUUUUUUGUCAAAGAUCGGGGCUUAACUCCGGGCAGGCAGAGAAAACUAGUAGACUUGAGUUCGGUAGGGGCAGAGGGAAUUCCCGGUGGAGCGGUGAAAUGCGUAGAGAUCGGGAGGAACACCAAAGGCGAAGGCACUCUGCUGGGCCGCAACUGACACUGAGAGACGAAAGCGAGGGUAGCAAAUGGGAUUAGAUACCCCAGUAGUCCUC
rnacentral:rRNA from 1 species